rnacentral:rRNA from 1 species
AACGAACGCUGGCGGCGUGCUUAACACAUGCAAGUCGAACGCUAAAGGGACUUCGGUCCUGAGUAAAGUGGCGCACGGGUGAGUAACGCGUAGAUAACCUGUCUUCACGUCUGGAAUAAUACGCCGAAAGGGGUACUAAUACCGGAUAUUCUUGCUUUUCAUAAGUUUUGCAAGGAAAGGUGGCCUCUGAAUAUGCUACUGCGCGAAGAGGGGUCUGCGUACCAUUAGCUAGUAGGUGGGGUAAUGGCCUACCUAGGCUACGAUGGUUAGCGGGUCUGAGAGGAUGAUCCGCCACACUGGCACUGGAACACGGGCCAGACUCCUACGGGAGGCAGCAGUGAGGAAUAUUGCGCAAUGGGGGAAACCCUGACGCAGCGACGCCGCGUGAGUGAGGAAGGCCUUCGGGUCGUAAAGCUCUGUCAAAGGGAAAGAAGUGCAUGAUGGCUAAUACCUGUCAUGUUUGACGGUACCCUUAAAGGAAGCACCGGCUAACUCCGUGCCAGCAGCCGCAGUAACAC